rnacentral:rRNA from 1 species
CACGUAGGGUGCGAGCGUUGUCCGGAAUUAUUGGGCGUAAAGAGCUCGUAGGCGGUCUGUCGCGUCUGCUGUGAAAACUCAGGGCUUAACCCUGAGCUUGCAGUGGGUACGGGCAGACUAGAGUGCGGUAGGGGAGACUGGAAUUCUGGUGUAGCGGUGAAAUGCGCAGAUAUCAGGAGGAACACCGGUGGCGAAGGCGGGUCUCUGGGCCGUAACUGACGCUGGAGGAAGCGAAAGCAUGGGGAGCGAACAGG